rnacentral:lncRNA from 1 species
UUAUGGCCUUCAAACUUUUAUCCAGGAGGUUAGCCUUCAGAAGCUCUGCAUGUGCGGCAAGAAGAUGCGGCUCAGUCAUUGCUUUGCACAUCUCGAAGCCAGUGAAGAAUGCCGACUUGCAGACUUGGUUUAUAACCUCAACUCCUUUCUUUGCUAAUCGAUCCACUCUCCACUGAGCCUUCUCGGCCAAAAACUCCUGGUCUGUGAGUCAGCCAUGAAGAAGAGCCUUCAUUUCUCUUUUAUCCUUAACUUUCUUUUUCAUACGCUCCAUUUCGGAGAGAGCCGCCUGAAGCUCGGCCUGAGGUGCAGAUGGCUCCGGAGACACUUAAGUCUCUUUGGAGGCAGAGCCUCCACCCCUCUGUGAUGUUUUCUCUUUGUGGCUAGCCCUAUCUGAGAUCUUGACCCUUUUAGCUAAUCCUCUGCAGGGGCUCCCUUGAGAACGGACCUCGGAGGAGGUGUAGUCAUGGCCUCUCUUCCCUCCGAAUGUUCUCCUUAAGCACUCUAUAUCAUCAAGAGCUCGGUGCCAGUCCC